GCCAGGCAUGGUGGCUCACGCCUGUAAUCCCAGCACUUUGGGAGGCUGAGGCAGGUGGAUCACUUGAGGCCAGGAGUUUGAAACCAGCCUGGCCAACAUGGUGAAAACCUGUCUCUA
rnacentral:SRP_RNA from 1 species